UUAACCGUACCAAAUCCCAAAUCAAAAAAAAAUCAAUAAUUAAGAAAAAUCUAAAAAACUAAACAUUUAAAAUCUAACAACUAAUUAACAAUUAAAUUAAAUUAAUCCAAUAAAAAUAUUAAAAGUAAAAUAAAUAGUAGAAGUUAUAAAGAAAACUAAAUGAAAUAGCAAGCAUAAAAAUAUGAAAGAUAUGCUACUCCUAAG
rnacentral:lncRNA from 1 species